AAGAGCCGUAUGAAUCGAGAGGUUCACGUACGGUUCUGUGAGAAGCUCAGGGUGAAAUUCCCUGGGUUUACUCGAC
rfam:Peptococcaceae bacterium BRH_c8a BRHa_1002202, whole genome shotgun sequence.